rnacentral:pre_miRNA from 13 species
UUUGAAGCCACUGUGUGUGAGAGCAGGUAUCUUCCCAGCCUACACGUAGGUCCUGAAAUCUGCAGGCUGGUUUGAUGGUUGUCUUGCACACAGC